GGCUGACUCCCACCACUGGCCUCAAGCGAAGAUUACACUCCACCUGGCCCAACCUGUGCGUGCCGCGCCCACGGAGUGUCCCUCGCCUUGUGCCUGCACAUCUCACUCAGUCCCGCGCCGCCCCUGGUCUCGCCCUCACGGUGGGUGCCGGUAUUGUGCACUAAGUCGCCAUUUUGCCGCUAGAGAAACCCUGUGGAGACCUGAACGCUCUUUCUUCAGCGGCCUAGCCUGCGGCGGCGCCGGGACUGGGUCUGGGCCAGGUAGGCGGGCGGAAGCCGGCUGUGAGCGGAAGCGCGGCAGGUGGCCCCGAGAACUGAAGGAGCCCUACUGCUGUCAUCCGAGGCAGACAGAGACCACUGUAAGCCACGCCCUCAGCACAGAUGCAUCCAGUGACUCGGCCCUGCUACUGACAGCAACCACUGUGCCCUGUGCUUUCCCACGCAUCAUCCUUGGGCAGCCACUGCCUCCUGUCUGCUCUCAAGCCUUGUCCUUGGCAGGACAACCCUGUUUCACUGAGCUCUCCUCCUCAUGACCCUGAUUCAGACCUCACAACGUGUGUGAGAGGAACCGUCUGGUCCAAGUGCGCGACUAGCCCUCUCAGGGUUGUUCUGAAAUAAACGUGACCUGUUGCACUUGUGUCUUUGUCUCUUGUUCUCCUUUUUCCCUAACAGAGCAGAGCUACAUUCCUAAGGUCAAUUCCAUCUUGUCAGUGUUCUGUAUCUUUCUUGCCUUCAUCAUAUUUUCAUAGUUUUCCUUUUACAUUAUACCGUGGGUGUUUCUUAAUCUUGGUUUCCGAAUGACACUUUAUUUUUAUUUUGUGGGGCAACUGUGUGUUCUUCAAGGUCUCCAAUAUGAAUUUAAUGCUGCCUUUGCUGCUUUAAUGUCACGUAUCCUCAAAUACAUUUGAAAAUAUUGUAGCCUAUGGUCAUAAAGAGAUGUCCAUUUUGGUUAUGAGAAUAACAUUUCAUGAGAACUUUCAUUUAAUGCCUAUACUUUGACUAAUGAGUCAGAUCUUAAGAUUUUUAUUUGCUUAUUGAGGAACCAAGUAAUUUGGAUAUAGGUCACUUUUUAGGUCUACGAUAUUGUGCAAUUUGACAGAUUUAUGCAGCCCUUAAACAUCAUCACAACAAAUACCUUAAAUGUUUCAAUUAGUUCUUAUUUUAUCCUGACCUUUUACCCUUAACUAUAACAACAUAUCUGAUUCAUCUUUAUAACUUUACAGUUUUUACUAACACAGUGAUGCUUCAGUUCAAGAACUUAAUUAAUUCUUUCCACAAUUCUGUUCACAAACCAAAUUGGUCAAAAACUGAAAGUUUAGGUUCAGAGUUGACUUUGUGGUGAAAUUUGAUUCUAUUCUAACCCAAUUUGUUGUGAGCAGAAUCAUGGAAACAGCUUAAGUUAAGCUUGCAAGCUGAGCUACUGCUGUAUGACAUAACUGGAAUCACAUAACUGUAGUUUUAAGUUUGAUUUUUUUUCCUUAACACAGUGCAACUGAGUUGUAAUUUGCUACACAUAUCAAUAGUUUUUCUUUUUAUUAUUCAAUAAUAUUCCUUUAUAUGAAUGUAUCUGAAUUUGCUCACCUAUUCGCCAGCUAGGGAGGGUUUUUUUCUUGUUUUUCUGUGUAAUAAAACUGCUACAAACACUCAUGCACCUAUCUGUAUUUAUUUCUCUUAGUUAAAAACUGCCAAGCAGAAUUUCUGUUUCAUAACAACUGCAAAUUUAGUUUUAUAAGAAAGCACCAAACUGCUUUUAAAAGUGGCUGAAUCAUUUUGCAUUCAAAUCAGAAAUAUUCUAGCUGUCUUACCUCUUUGGCAGUGGCUGGCAUUUUCAGUUUAUUUUUAAUCCAUAGCCAUUCCUCCCUUCUUUCAGCCCUAUCACGUGGAGGCUCUAUUUCCCCACAGAAGAUGCAGACUUUAGAAUGUCUCUCUUCACCGAGGAAGAGCAGUGAUUUGGGGCUCCAGGACACAGAAAGGAUUGGGAGGAACUGGAGCUCACUCUCAGGGCUCAGAAUCUUGAGAAGAUGCCAUGUGGAAAGAGACCCUUGCAUAGGCAUUUUGAUCUUCUAACUUUGCACACAGCAGUGCACGAAAGGAGCUGCUUCAGGUCUCUUCUGGUUCCAGAUGAAAUUUAGGAGUGAUUUCUCUAGAUCUAAAAGCUACUGAGACUCUGGCACCACGCUACCCCAAGCCACUGGGCCUGCAGAACCAAUGGCUCUCCUCUGCCUCCUCAGAACUCUGCAGUUCCAGACAAGCUGGGCCUCAGGGACACUGUGCGCCCACCUGCCCCUUGGAAGCACCACAGCUCUCCAAUCGCAGCCUAUGUGGAUGCGGAUGUAGACGCCUCAAACCCACCUCUCCACUUCACUGCAUCUGGAAGCCUGGAGGGACCCAAACAGUCUGGGCUCUGGGCAGAGUGUGCUGAGCACUCACCACAGGCUGCAGGGCCUCCAGAACCUGUGAUGCUCCACCGCUCGCAGAGACAUCCACAGUCCCCCAGACACACAGGGAGGCCAAUGCAGGCGCCCCAGAUCCACCCAACCCCUCCUCUGCACACCGAUGGCUAGGUGCAGCAGUCCGAAACAGUCUCACACCCUUGAUUUUUGCAUUUAGGUCUCCAAUCCCUCAGGGAUUGGAUUUUUGUGUCUGGUGUAAAGAUCCAAUUUCUUUUUUCCCUCUGUUUCUGAAUGGAUAUCAGUUACCACCACACUGUUUAUUAAAGAGUCCAUCUUUUCCUGCUGAUUUAUACAUCACAUCUCUCAUAUAUCAAGGUUUCAUAUGUGUACAGAUCAGUUUUUGGCCUGAAUUCCAUUUCAGCAGUCUAUUUUUCUUUCUCUGUGUCAGUAUCACACUGUGUUAAUUACUGUGGCUGUAUACUGACUGCUGGAGGUAGGCUGAUCUCACUAGGCUUGUUCUGCUCCCUUAGAAGUCUCUGGCAUGCUAUGGGCCUGG